UACGUAGGUGGCAAGCGUUGUUCGGAAUUACUGGGCGUAAAGGGCGCGUAGGCGGCCUGCUAAGUCGAACGUGAAAUCCCUGGGCUCAACCCAGGAACUGCGUCCGAUACUGGUUGGCUUGAAUCCGGGAGAGGGAUGCGGAAUUCCAGGUGUAGCGGUGAAAUGCGUAGAUAUCUGGAGGAACACCGGUGGCGAAGGCGGCAUCCUGGACCAACACUGACGCUGAGGAGCGAAAGCCAGGGGAGCAAACGGG
rnacentral:rRNA from 1 species